AUAUUUAAUGGAAAUGAUGUCUUCCAAGUUUUACUAUUAAACAAAACCGCUUAUUUAGCUAAUGACGUCUAUGAUUUU
rnacentral:ncRNA from 2 species